rnacentral:rRNA from 1 species
GAGGAAUAUUGGACAAUGGAUGGAAAUCUGAUCCAGCCAUGCCGCGUGCAGGAAGAAUGUCCUAUGGAUUGUAAACUGCUUUUGUAUGGGAGCAAUAAGGUCUUCGUGAAGGCCGAUGAGAGUACCAUACGAAUAAGCACCGGCUAACUCCGUGCCAGCAGCCGCGGUAAUACGGAGGGUGCAAGCGUUAUCCGGAUUUAUUGGGUUUAAAGGGUGCGUAGGCGGUUAUAUAAGUCAGCGGUGAAAUUUUUCGGCUCAACCGGAAACAUGCCGUUGAUACUGUAUAGCUUGAAUAUGGUUGCUGUGAGUGGAAUGUGUAGUGUAGCGGUGAAAUGCUUAGAUAUUACACAGAAUAUCGAUUGCGAAGGCAACUCACAAAGCCAUUAUUGACGCUGAGGCACGAAAGUGUGGGGAUCAAAC